AGAAGCUUUGAGAGUUGUCAUAACACGGACCUUGUUUGUGAUGUUCAACUAACAGUCUAUAAACAAGGACAACAGCGACAAGCACCUACCAGGUCAUGCACGCCCCCGACUCUUCAUUUUCAUAAUGAGGGAGACGACCCAAGGGCAACGCUCAAAGGGUUUGGCCCAAUUUUCCUGCUGGUUACUAUUGACAGCGUAUGAAAUAUUUAUUCCUGAUAGCCGUGCAGGGAUGGCCAGAGCCAAAACAUGAGACUGUUGACACCUAUUACAAAAUAUAGAUACUCCAUCAUACAUCUUAGCCAGUCAAGCCUUGGUAUAAUAGGUCCGAUGUACUACUUUACAUCGAAUGAGGCCAUGUCUGGCACAAAUAAAAGAUGUAUGUCAUCUAUUUAAAAUCUCUGUCCAUUUAUCGUCCGAUAGAGCUACUCUCAAAUCUUCUCCCCGAAGUGAUUUCAUCGAGUUCAGAGUCUCGGAGCGUAAAAUGAAAAAUUUGAUUGUAUGUCAGUGUAAUUGGCCCUUUCAGAGUCGGAAGUGGUGUCAAAAAAACAUCCAACACUGUGUUGAUAGAACAGGAAACAUAGGAAAAGUGGAACAAAGCUGCGGUCUUGGAAAUAUAAAAAAAAAAAAAAUGUUGCCUAGGAAGUAAAAAUCUGUCACAGAGUUGUUGAAAAGAAGCAAAAGUAUCGUUGAUGUGUAAGUCUCUAAAGUUGUAAAUAGCCACCUUAGAAAAGCACGGUCAGCAAGAGAGUGAGAAAA